rnacentral:rRNA from 1 species
GACGAACGCUGGCGGCGUGCUUAACACAUGCAAGUCGAACGAUGAACUACCAGCUUGCUGGUGGGGAUUAGUGGCGAACGGGUGAGUAACACGUGAGUAACCUGCCCUGGACUCUGGGAUAACCCCGAGAAAUCGGAGUUAAUACCGGAUAGGACCUUUCCUCGCAUGAGGUUUGGUGGAAAGUUUUUCGGUUUGGGAUGGACUCGCGGCCUAUCAGCUUGUUGGUGAGGUAAUGGCUCACCAAGGCGUCGACGGGUAGCCGGCCUGAGAGGGUGACCGGCCACACUGGGACUGAGACACGGCCCAGACUCCUACGGGAGGCAGCAGUGGGGAAUAUUGCACAAUGGGCGCAAGCCUGAUGCAGCAACGCCGCGUGCGGGAUGACGGCCUUCGGGUUGUAAACCGCUUUUAGUAGGGAAGAAGGGCUUCGGCUUGACGGUACCUGCAGAAAAAGGACCGGCUAACUACGUGCCAGCCGCCGCCGUAAAAC